UAAUCACUCGCACCUGCCCUUGAUUCCCUCUCCCCCAUAUAGUGUCCCCAGUUCCUCUGUCACGUGCCAGUGCGUUGUUUAUGCUGCCAAGAGAACACGUUCGAGUCCAAGCCUGUGUCGCCUUUUGUUUAGUAGCUCUAUUGCUAAGUAUAGUCACGUUUAUUUUCUCCUUUUCUCCUUUCUCCUUCUAUCUCCUUCUUGUUUUGUCCUUCAAGAGAAAACAAUAAAUACACUUGAGCCUUUCAUCGUGCCUCCUGUCUCGUGCACUUGGAUCCAAGCAGUGUAUUCACCCUCCUUAACACACUGGGUAAACACAGCAACAUUUCACAAUUCAGAGGCAAAACGUUCAUGGUAAAUGUGUGCUAUUGCACAGUGUAUAUCAUCAUAUGUUUUAUUAAAUUGGGUUGGUGAUUUUUGGUUUGGUUGGUGGAUGUUACAUCAUUUUGACUAUUACAAUAAUGAUUCACUUUAUGUCAGUAAAGAUUUAGAUGUGUGAUUUAAGUGUUCCAUUGAUUCCUUAAAUUCUAGUUGAGCAGUGUAUACUGAACCUAUUUGACACAGACGAAAGAUAUAUUGUUGAUUUAUUGCCCGGCCCCAUAUACUAAACUAAAUUGAAGGGACAAAGUUCAGUGAAAUAAGAAAUAUCUGAAUCAAACUUGGUGACACGUGACCUUUAAUGUCACUUCCCGUUUGUUAGAGAGUGAUUUGCAUUCUUACCUCGUUGUUUCAGUUCCCACUUAAUGAGUCUUGAAGCAGCACUGCAACCAUCGUGACCGAGACCUGUCAGUCAAACAGCAAUGUUAUAACAAACUGCUCCAUUUGUAUACACAUCUCUCCCUGUAAAGGAACACUUUUCCUCAUAUGUGUCUUUUUAUAGCUUACAGAUACAGACCAAACAGACAAAGUAGAGUGUUGCCCCUGGAAAUGGUGAACUCAAUGAAAAACAACGUCCCUAAGUGUCUCCGCCUUUGAUGUCUUCAGUAAGUCGCACCUCUGCCCUCAGCUGCGCCUUAGCUCGCCACCUCAUGGCGAGUGCCGUCAUCACACAGCAAAGCAUCAGGCAGAGGAAGGAGGCACAGACCAGCAGGAGGUGCUCCUCUCCAAACUCCCUGAUCAGUGCCGGCCGCCGCCACAGGAAGUUCUUGAACAGCGCCUCCUGUUGGAUGAACAUGCUGAAAGACAACAUGACGUGGAAGAUCUGGUGGCUGUGAGCGACAAUGUCGCAGUGGCCGGGGUAAAAGAGCUCAGGUACGGGGAAGGAGAAGAAGAUGGCUGACGGAAGAAACAGCACCAUCUAGCGGAGAGAGGAAAUGAACACAAGCCGGGCUCAGGACUUUUCUGCACCUGGGUAUCAAUUGGAUGUCUUGCUCAAAAUCAGCUUCCCUGACCGGGAAUCGAACCCGGGCCGCGGCGGUGAGAGCGCCGAA